rnacentral:rRNA from 1 species
AUACGUAGGGGGCUAGCGUUAUCCGGAAUUACUGGGCGUAAAGGGUGCGUAGGUGGUUUCUUAAGUCAGAAGUGAAAGGCUACGGCUCAACCGUAGUAAGCUUUUGAAACUAAGAGACUUGAGUGCAGGAGAGGAGAGUAGAAUUCCUAGUGUAGCGGUGAAAUGCGUAGAUAUUAGGAGGAAUACCAGUUGCGAAGGCGGCUCUCUGGACUGUAACUGACACUGAGGCACGAAAGCGUGGGGAGCAAACAGGAUUAGAUACCCUGGUAGUCCACGCCGUAGACGAUGAGUACUAGCUGUCGGGGGUUACCCCCCUCGGUGGCGCAGCUAACGCAUUAAGUACUCCGCCUGGGAAGUACGCUCGCAAGAGUGAAACUCAAAUGAAUUGACGGGG